GCUAGCGCCCAUAGCCCGAGGGUAAGUCCUGUACCCAUUCCGAACACAGAAGAGAAUCCUCGGGACGUCCUACUGUUAGUGCCCCACAGGCGCGAAGGUAGGUUGGUGCUAGCG
rnacentral:rRNA from 1 species